UACGGAGGGUGCAAGCGUUAUCCGGAAUCACUGGGUUUAAAGGGUGAGUAGGCGGCCAUAUAAGUCAGAGGUGAAAGACCGACGCUUAACGACGGAAUUGCCUUUGAUACUGUAUGGCUUGAAUCAAGAUGAGGUAAUCAGAAUGUGACAUGUAGCGGUGAAAUGCUUAGAUAUGUCAUAGAACACCAAUUGCGAAGGCAGGUUACUAGACUUUGAUUGACGCUGAGGCACGAAAGCGUGGGUAGCGAACAGG
rnacentral:rRNA from 1 species